GAUGAACGCUGGCGGCGUGCCUAAUACAUGCAAGUCGAGCGAACGGACGAGAAGCUUGCUUCUCUGAUGUUAGCGGCGGUCGGGUGAGUAACACGUGGAUAACCUACCUAUAAGACUGGGAUAACUUCGGGAAACCGGAGCUAAUACCGGAUGAUAUUUUGAACCGCAUGGUUCAAAAGUGAAAGACGGUCUUGCUGUCACUUAUAGAUGUAUCCGCGCUGCAUUAGCUAGUUGGUAAGGUAACGGCUUACCAAGGCAACGAUGCAUAGCCGACCUGAGAGGGUGAUCGGCCACACUGGAACUGAGACACGGUCCAGACUCCUACGGGAGGCAGCAGUAGGGAAUCUUCCGCAAUGGGCGAAAGCCUGACGGAGCAACGCCGCGUGAGUGAUGAAGGUCUUCGGAUCGUAAAACUCUGUUAUUAGGGAAGAACAUAUGUGUAAGUAACUGUGCACAUCUUGACGGUACCUAAUCAGAAAGCCACGGCUAACUACGUG
rnacentral:rRNA from 1 species